UCGGUCGAUGUACUCGUCGAAACACUGUAUUGGUGAGCGAGAUGUUGGGGUGGCCAGUAUCAUUAGUUGUGUGCCGGGUUUUUAGGAUUUAUUUGAACAGGGGAAUCUUCAUCAGAUUUGUGAUUUUCCGGAGCAAACCGGUUAUUGUUUGGAGUUGAUCAGAGAAUUUUACAUGAGAGCAGGUCACCUCAGUGACUCCGACGGCGGUCCGUACGU
rnacentral:lncRNA from 1 species